CAGUCGCCGCGGGAAUACGUAGGUGGCAAGCGUUGUCCGGAAUUAUUGGGCGUAAAGGGCUCGCAGGCGGUUUCUUAAGUCUGAUGUGAAAGCCCCCGGCUCAACCGGGGAGGGUCAUUGGAAACUGGGAAACUUGAGUGCAGAAGAGGAGAGUGGAAUUCCACGUGUAGCGGUGAAAUGCGUAGAGAUGUGGAGAAACACCAGUGGCGAAGGCGACUCUCUGGUCUGUAACUGACGCUGAGGAGCGAAAGCGUGGGGAGCGAACAGGAUUAGAUACCCGGGUAGUCCCUGUCUCUUAUAA
rnacentral:rRNA from 1 species